GGAGUGUUGGCUCAGUCAGUAGAGCGUCCGCAUCCCAACCGGGAGGUCGUGGGUUCGAACCCCAGCCGCGUCA
rnacentral:tRNA from 1 species